rnacentral:rRNA from 1 species
GUCCAGACUCCUACGGGAGGCAGCAGUGGGGGAUAUUGCACAAUGGGGGAAACCCUGAUGCAGCGACGCCGCGUGAGCGAUGAAGUAUUUCGGUAUGUAAAGCUCUAUCAGCAGGGAAGAAGAUGACGGUACCUGACUAAGAAGCCCCGGCUAACUACGUGCCAGCAGCCGCGGUAAUACGUAGGGGGCAAGCGUUAUCCGGAUUUACUGGGUGUAAAGGGAGCGUAGACGGCGAUGCAAGCCAGAUGUGAAAGCCCGGGGCUCAACCCCGGGACUGCAUUUGGAACUGUGUGGCUGGAGUGUCGGAGAGGCAGGCGGAAUUCCUAGUGUAGCGGUGAAAUGCGUAGAUAUUAGGAGGAACACCAGUGGCGAAGGCGGCCUGCUGGACGAUGACUGACGUUGAGGCUCGAAAGCGUGGGGAGCAAACAGGAUUAGAUACCCCAGUA